rnacentral:ncRNA from 1 species
UUCCACUAGGGGAGCAUUUGCUGAGAGGCCGUUCUGGCCGACCCUUGGAACCUGUCGGGGUAAUACCUGCGUAGGGAAGUGG